rnacentral:rRNA from 1 species
AGUAACACGUGACUAAUCUACCCUCGAGUGGGGAAUAACUGAGAGAAAUCUUAGCUAAUACCGCAUAACACUUACGAGUCAAAGCAGCAAUGCGCUUGGGGAGGAGGUCGCGGCCGAUUAGCUAGUUGGCGGGGUAAUGGCCCACCAAGGCGAUGAUCGGUAUCCGGCCUGAGAGGGCGCACGGACACACUGGAACUGAAACACGGUCCAGACUCCUACGGGAGGCAGCAGUGGGGAAUUUUGCGCAAUGGGGGAAACCCUGACGCAGCAACGCCGCGUGGAGGAUGAAAUAUCUUGGUAUGUAAACUCCUUUCGAUGGGGAAGAUUAUGACGGUACCCAUAGAAGAAGCCCCGGCUAACUUCGUGCCAGCAGCCGCGGUAAUACGAGGGGGGCAAGCGUUGUUCGGAUUUAUUGGGCGUAAAGGGUGCGUAAGCGGUUUGGCAAGUCUUGUGUGAAAUCUUCGGGCUCAACCGAAGUCU